rnacentral:piRNA from 1 species
UCCCAGUCGAUCCCGCUCCGCCAAAUGC